UGUUUUAUUAUUUGGAAAACGUCACACAGCGUCAAAAUUUACUGUGAAGAAAAUGCAAAAUGUGCGAUGAUUUGUGCGGCUGGGGUUAUCUAAUCUUCAUUUUCUUUUGUUUAUUGUUAGUUCUUUUGGCCAUUUCGAGACCUCCACCGGGGGCUAUGUGCUACUAAUAUUUGAGGUGUAUUUUUUUUUUUUGAUUUUGAGGCUUUCAAAAAUCAUCAAAAUUAUUGAGUUUGACCAGAUUUAUUGUGCGUUAUCGUGCGUGUGUUUUGAUUUUUGUAGUUGGUGGUUACUUCUGUUACCACUAGUUCUGCUCUGUCUUUUGUUUUAUUUUAGUUGUAAAUACGUAUUUCGCAGGCAAAGCAAAGAUUAUUGCUGUUAUUGUUAUUAAUAAAAUAAAAAUGUUGAAAACAAAUGUGACAAAAUUUUAAAUGCAAUACAGUAUUUUGUAUGUAUCAACAGAAACCAUGCCCUUGCACCUCUUAUGAAAGGUUUCGAAGUUCGAUAAUUAUGGAAAGAAAUGAAAAAAUUACCUGACAAGGAGAGGAAACCUGAAAUACACUUCAAUGGAAAUAAAGAUGUAGAUAAUCGUGAUCAUGAUUCUUAUUUCAAGCACUUGAUUUUAGGGUCAUUUUGAAUGGAAUAAAAACAGAAUUGCUUUGA